AAAAAACAGUGCAGAUACAGUCACUGACCAAGAUGGCCUAAUGUUUCCUGCUGCCUGACUAACCUUUAGACAGGGUUCUUCCUGAUUGUUGGCCUCUGACCUCCCUAUUUUUAGACCAUUCACUUUAAAAAAAACUUGCAAAGUGUACAUUUUCUCUGCUCCUUUAAGAUGUAAAUCUUCUGGCCUCUUAUCAGUUCUACAAUGCAGAACCAUCUUUCUCAAAAACCUGGGUGUCAUCUCUUUGAAAUUCAAUAAUUAAGAAAGGUAGAACCUUUUUUUAUCUCCUAAUCUCUGUGGGAGAGUAGGAGCCUGACUUCCCUAAGCACCAAUCAGCAAACACAGAUGGUCUAACCCUAUUGACCAACAUACAGUACUUUUCCACUUAGGGACUUCUGUGCUUAAAAUCUCUCCUGCUUUUUUUUUCAGUGGCAUUGAGCCCUCUUUCUGUGCCUUAUUACAGUGGUCU
rnacentral:lncRNA from 1 species